GGAGAUUGUUUUCCAUUUGGCCUUCAUUUCAUACUUUCUUUUAGACCUCAUAUGGGCAUUAUUUUCUACGUGGGCUUUUGGCAUAUUUCUAUUUUUGAUCAUUAAAUUUACUUUAGUCCCAUUGUAGCUAUUGAGUUCCACUAAUUGUCUUGAUUUAGUGCUUCUUCCUCCACUCUCAAAUGGGUAAUGAGUGCUUCAAUAGAAAGUUCCUUUUGUUUGUACCUUAUGACUUGGGCAAAUUCCUUCUAGAAUUUAGGUAGUUUGUCAGUGAUGGCUGAAGCUGACAUUAUUCAUCCACACAAAUCCUUUUAAAAUGAAGUUUAU
rnacentral:lncRNA from 1 species